AUGUAGAAAACAUGCUUUAAAACCAAUAAGACAUAGUCAUAUCUAAGAUAAGAUCUAAUGGAUGAGCAAAAACUAGCCAAGUAUUCUGAAGCGAGGGAGAGCAAUCGUGGUGGCUCUGAGGUGGGAGAAAUGGUAGUGUGUCCAGGAGAUUAAAAAUGCUGGGUGGCUGGUCCUCAGAAAUAGAGAUGAGGCAAUAAGGAUGAAGUUAGCUGAUAGGUAGAUCCUUAUAAAUGGUGUUAGGGAUGUGGAAUUUCAUCCUGAAAGCAAUAAGAGUCCUUUGAAAGGUUUUCCACAGGAAGUGGAUAUGACAGGGUGAGUAAUGAGUGCAACAAUGAGAUAUUUAAAAGAUCUCUCCAUUUAGAGUCUGGAGAAUGGAGUGGGUGGGGCCAAACUGGAUGGUGGAAGAGCCGGCACAGGCCAUCACAGCCUCAUGAGAAAGACUAGCAGCUUUAUAAUUGGAAUUUGUGGCUGCAUUUGUGAUCGACUGGAUGGAGGAUGGACAGAGAAAGAGAGGAGACAAGGAUGAUUUCCAGGCAACUUCUUGGCUGCAGGCACAAUUCCCCAAGUCAGCAAACAUUGCAGCAGGACCAGGUUUGCAGAGCGUCUCCACUUGGUCAUCUCUAACAGACCGGACCCCGCCACUUUGCUAGGAUAUCCCAGAGGAGACCAGAGCAGAAUUCCCUGUGAAGAUAUUGCAAAUGCUGCACCACUUUGACACAGACGAAUAUUGCCUUAAUGCUUUCUCAUUGCAGCUCCAUUCUCAUUCCUCUUGUUCUAAUCUCACUGGGAACAGUAAGAAGCUGCCAUCAUUUUAUGUUAUACUUUUA
rnacentral:lncRNA from 1 species